rnacentral:rRNA from 1 species
CCUACGGGAGGCAGCAGUGAGGAAUAUUGGUCAAUGGACGAAAGGCUGAACCAGCCAAGUCGCGUGAAGGAAGACUGCCCUAUGGUUUGUAAACUUCUUUUAUAUGGGAAUAAAGUUUUCCACGUGUGGAAUUUUGUAUGUACCCUAUGAAUAAGCAUCGGCUAACUCCGUGCCAGCAGCCGCGGUAAUACGGAGGAUCCGAGCGUUAUCCGGAUUUAUUGGGUUUAAAGGGAGCGUAGGUUGUUUUUUAAGUCAGUUGUGAAAGUUUGCGGCUCAACCGUAAAAUUGCAGUUGAAACUGGCAGUCUUGAGUACAGUAGAGGUGGGCGGAAUUCGUGGUGUAGCGGUGAAAUGCUGAGAUAUCACGAAGAACUCCGAUUGCGAAGGCAGUUCACUGGACUGCAACUGACACUGAGGCUCGAAAGUGUGGGUAUCAAACAGGAUUAGAUACCCGUGUAGUC